AACGAACGCUGGCGGCAUGCCUAACACAUGCAAGUCGAACGAGACCUUCGGGUCUAGUGGCGCACGGGUGCGUAACGCGUGGGAACCUGCCCUUAGGUUCGGAAUAACUCCCCGAAAGGGGUGCUAAUACCGGAUAAUGUCUUCGGACCAAAGAUUUAUCGCCUUUGGAUGGGCCCGCGUUGGAUUAGCUAGUUGGUAGGGUAAAAGCCUACCAAGGCGACGAUCCAUAGCUGGUCUGAGAGGAUGAUCAGCCACACUGGGACUGAGACACGGUCCAGACUCCUACGGGAGGCAGCAGUGGGGAAUAUUAGACAAUGGGCGAAAGCCUGAUCCAGCAAUGCCGCGUGAGUGAUGAAGGCCUUAGGGUUGUAAAGCUCUUUUACCCGGGAUGAUAAUGACAGUACCGGGAGAAUAAGCUCCGGCUAACUCCGUG
rnacentral:rRNA from 1 species